GGACCAGGGAUGGAAAAUAAGUGCCACCAGAGGUGCUCCAUCUACCUGUCCCUUGCCUCUAUGAGCCCCACUCAGCCCUGCUGGCUUUCCAAGGUUAAAAGUCUGAUCCGCCGCCUGCUGUACACACAGUCAUCAAGUGAGUGCAGUGAACGCCUCUCAGAACACAAAGCAAUAUCAGGCAGACAGCAGAUCAAACAAGCUCCAGCCGCCAGGGGAGGCAACCAGUAGGGCCGCGCUUCCCACUGAUUUCCCCAGCCCUUACUUGGUGGGGAAAGGGUUAUUAAACCCUUUUGCUUUGCUCUAAGUGCUGCAAAUAGAACGAUAAAUCCAAAUAACGAGGUGCAUGCUGUUCCCCCAUCUGUAUGUGCUGUGGAUGACAGGCAGGGACCAAACACGGAAAGGAAUCUGUAAGUAUAGCUGGAGGCUAUUGUGUCCAGCAUGGAGCUGACUCCUGCAGUGUGGUAAGGUGUACACCUUGUUCUCGUGUCGUGCAGCUGUAGCUGCCGUGUCUUGUGAGACUGUUGUUCUUCAUGCUGGGGUUCUCUGUGCCAGUGACCCCCACUCAUCCCAUUUUGUGGCUCAGUACCCACUCAGACAAGCUAUAGAAAAGAGAGGUGGUAUUCCGAAAUUGGAACAGCAGUCCUCAAACUGUUCAUUUUGCAUCCACAUCCCUGAUUUCCCCCUCAUCUGCCCCACUAAGGGAGGUGACAAGUACAAUUGCACCAGGAAGGACCACCUCCCCCAUUGCAGUCCCUGUGGAUUAUUAAGCCCAGCCCAUGGGGACCCUUGGCCACAAACAGCUGAUGAAAAGUCUUCUUAAGGGGACUGCUUCUCAAAUAAAUCCUACCUUGUCAGGUUUGAGGUUGCCCACAUUAGUCAGGGCCUGGCUCAGAAGCUUGGAGCUUUGCUUGUGGCUGUUACCUGGAUAGCAAAUGCAAGGGCUGCCAGCAAAGAGAGAGUGGGCAGGGAUUGCACCACAUUGGUCCAAGGAAGCCCUCAGUGUUGUAGGGCUCUGAUUUGGAAGCAGAACUCAUUG
rnacentral:lncRNA from 1 species